GACGAACGCCGGCGGCGUGCCUUAGGCAUGCAAGUAGAACGAGCUAAAUUCGGUUAGAAAGUCGCGAACGGCUGAGUAACACGUAAGAAUCUACCCCUUGGCGCGGAAUACCCAAUCGAAAGAGGAAGUAAUACCACAUAAGAUCUCCGGAUGAAAGGAUGUAACUAUCCGCCGAGGGAGGAGCUUGCGGCCCAUCAGCUUGUUGGUAGGGUAAAAGGCCUACCAAGGCUUUGACGGGUAGGGGGCGUGAGAGCGUGUUCCCCCAGAAUGGCACUGAGACACGGGCCAUACACCUACGGGUGGCAGCAACCGGGAAUUGUACACAAUGGACGAAAGUCUGAUGUCGCGACGCCGCGUGAAGGAUGAAGGCCUUUGGGUCGUAAACUUCUUUUGGCUAAAUGGAAACAUUUGGCAGAAUAAGCACCCGCUAACUACGUGCCAGCAGCUGCGGUGAUACGUAGGGUGCAAGCGUUGUCCGGAGUUAUUGGGCGUAAAGAGUUCGUAGGCGUUUUUCUAAGUUGUUUUUCAAAUACCAGGGCUUAACUUUGGGAAGGGGAACAAUACUACUAGAAUUGAAGAAUGUCGGGGUUACUGGAAUUGUCGGUGUAGGGGUGAAAUCCGUUGAUAUCGACAAGAACACCAAGGGCGAAGGCGGGUAACUGGGGGGCACUAUUUGACGCUGAGGAACGAAAGCUAGGGUAGCGAAAGGGAUUAGAGACCCUGUAGUCCUAGCCGUAAACGAUGCUCGCUAGGGAUGUGGGAUUUAUCUUCGCGGCUCGUAAGCUAACGCGUUAAGCGAGCCGCCUGGGGAGUACGGUCGCAAGACUAAAACUCAAAGGAAUUGACGGG
rnacentral:rRNA from 1 species